CUUUUUAUUUUUUUCUUAUGGGGCCCCUUUUCCAACUUUCAGUGAUGUCAGGAGGGGCGGAACAAGGCGGUUGCCAUGAAACAAGAAUAAGUAGGUACCACGGAAACGAAGAACACUGUAGUGCUAGCCAUAGAUAGCCUGCAGAAGAGUAAUCUAGUGGACAUACAGAUUCAGACAAAAAAAGCUGAGAAAAGACACAUGAGCACAGCAUUGCAAACUGGUGCCCAAUUUCUUAAAAAUAGUAUUGACAGUUCUUUUGAUAAGACACGGAUCAACAGCAACUCUAGUAACAAGACCUACCAACAUGAGCAGACACAUCAACUGGGAUGGG